CAAUUUCAAUUUUUUUCCCCUUUUCCCCCGUCUUACCACCCAAACCCCCCAAAAAUUCCCAAAAUUUCCCAAAAUUCCCGAAUUUUCUCUCCCAGCUGCUUGGAGGGCGACUUCGCGGGUCCCCGGGACUUCCCCAACUGCUCGGUGGCCCUGAGUGACCUGAGUGACCACAGUGACCACCUGAGUGACCAGAGUGACCAGCGGAGUGACCACAGUGACCACAGUGACCAGAGUGACCACCUGAGUGACCAGAGUGACCACAGUGACCACCUGAGUGACCAACAGAGUGACCAGAGUGACCAGCGGAGUGACCAGAUUGACCACCUGAGUGACCAGAGUGACCAGCAGAGUGACCAGAGUGACCAGCAGAGUGACCACAGUGACCACCUGAGUGACCACAGUGACCACCUGAGUGACCACCUGAGUGACCAGAGUGACCACAGUGACCAGAGUGACCAGCGGAGUGACCACAGUGACCACAGUGACCACAGUGACCACCUGAGUGACCAGGAAGGUGGCCAGCAGAACGACCAGCACGGUGACCAGCAGAGUGACCACCAAAGUGACCACCAGUCUGACCAGCAGAGUGACCACUGGAGUGACCAUCAGAAGGACCAGCAGAGUGGCCAGCUGAGUGACCAUCAGAAUGACCACUGGGCUGACCAGCCGAGUGACCAGCUGGGUGACCAUCGGAGUGACCAUCAGGCUGAGGGUCAGGCUGACCAUCGGAGUGACCAUCAGAAUGACGGCCAGGCUGACAGUCAGGCUGACCCCCAAAGUGACCAGCCGAGUGACCAUCAGGCUGAGGGUCAGGCUGACCAGCUGAGUGACCAGAGUGACCAUCUGAGUGACCAUCAGAAUGACCAUCAGGCUGAGGGUCAGGCUGACCCCCAGAGUGACCAUGGGAGUGACCAUCAGAAUGACCAUCAGGCUGAGGGUCAGGCUGACCCCGCGGGUGACCAGAGUGACCAGCCGAGUGACCAUCGGAGUGACCAUCAGGCUGAGGGUCAGGCUGACCAUCGGAGUGACCAUCAGAAUGACCGUCAGGCUGAUGGUCAGGCUGACCCCCAGAGUGACCAGAGUGACCAUGGGAGUGACCAUCAGGCUGAGGGUCAGGCUGACCCCCAGAGUGACCAGAGUGACCAUGGGAGUGACCAUCGGGCUGAGGGUCAGGCUGACCCCCAGAGUGACCAUGGGAGUGACCAUCGGGCUGAGGGUCAGGCUGAGGGUCAGGCUGACCCCCAGAGUGACCAGAGUGACCAUCGGAGUGACCAUCGGGCUGAGGGUCAGGCUGACCCCCAGAGUGACCAGAGUGACCAGAGUGACCAUCGGGCUGAGGGUCAGGCUGAGGGUCAGGCUGACCCCCAGAGUGACCAGAGUGACCAGAGUGACCAGAGUGACCAGAGUGACCGCGGGCGCGGCCGGUGGUGGUACGGCGCGUGCCCCGACGUGGACGAGUGCGCGCUGGGGCUGGCGCGGUGCCACCCGCGGGCGCGCUGCCACAACAGCCCCGGCAGCUUCCAGUGCCGCUGCCAGCGCGGCUUCCGCGGCGACGGCGUGGCCAGCUGCGAGCCCACGUGAGGGACGGG
ensembl:lncRNA